CAGUCGCCACGGUAAAACGGAGGGUGCAAGCGUUAAUCGGAAUUACUGGGCGUAAAGCGCACGCAGGCGGUCUGACAAGUCAGAUGUGAAAUCCCCGGGCUUAACCUGGGAACUGCAUUUGAAACUGUCAGGCUGGAGUCUUGUAGAGGGGGGUAGAAUUCCAGGUGUAGCGGUGAAAUGCGUAGAGAUCUGGAGGAAUACCGGUGGCGAAGGCGGCCCCCUGGACAAAGACUGACGCUCAGGUGCGAAAGCGUGGGGAGCAAACAGGAUUAGAUACCCCUGUAGUCCCUGUCUCUUAUAC
rnacentral:rRNA from 1 species